CAGUCGCCGCGGGAAUACGUAGGGUGCAAGCGUUAAUCGGAAUUACUGGGCGUAAAGCGUGCGCAGGCGGUUAUAUAAGACAGAUGUGAAAUCCCCGGGCUCAACCUGGGAACUGCAUUUGUGACUGUAUAGCUAGAGUACGGCAGAGGGGGAUGGAAUUCCGCGUGUAGCAGUGAAAUGCGUAGAUAUGCGGAGGAACACCGAUGGCGAAGGCAAUCCCCUGGGACUGUACUGACGCUCAUGCACGAAAGCGUGGGGAGCAAACAGGAUUAGAUACCCCGGUAGUCCCUGUCUCUUAUAC
rnacentral:rRNA from 1 species